AGAGCUGCGUCCUCUCCCUCAAGUUCGCCGCCUGCGGGAAGUGGUUUGUGAGCACAGGGAAGGACAACCUGCUCAAUGCCUGGCGCACCCCCUAUGGUGCCAGCAUCUUCCAGUCCAAAGAGUCCUCCUCUGUGCUGAGCUGUGACAUCUCUGUCAAUGACAAAUUCAUUGUCACGGGCUCUGGCGACAAGAAGGCCACAGUGUACGAGGUGGUGUACUGAGGGCCCAG